GUUAUUCNUAACUGUGCAAAGGUAGCAUAAUCAUUAGUCUUUUAAUUGAAGGCUGGUAUGAAUGGUUGCAUGAAAUAUUAACUGUUUCAAUUUAAUUUUAUUUAGAACUUUAUUUUUUAGUUAAAAAGCUAAAAUUUAAUUAAAAGACGAGAAGACCCUAUAAAUCUUUAUAAUUNNAUAAUUUUAUUAANUAUAUAGAUAAUUUAAUUAAUAAUAAAAUUAAUUAUUUUAUUGGGGUGAUAUUAAAAUUUAAUAAACUUUUAAUUUAUAANAAACAUUAAUUAAUGAGUAAANUGAUCCAUUANNUUAUGAUUAAAAAAUUAAGUUACUUUAGGGAUAACAGCNGUAAUUUUUUUAGAGAGUUCAUAUUGAUAAAAAAGAUUGCGACCUCGAUGUUGGAUUAAGAUAUAA
rnacentral:rRNA from 1 species